AUUGAACGCUGGCGGCAUGCCUUACACAUGCAAGUCGAACGGCAGCACGGGAGCAAUCCUGGUGGCGAGUGGCGAACGGGUGAGUAAUAUAUCGGAACGUGCCCAGUCGUGGGGGAUAACGUAGCGAAAGCUACGCUAAUACCGCAUACGAUCUAUGGAUGAAAGCGGGGGAUCGCAAGACCUCGCGCGAUUGGAGCGGCCGAUAUCAGAUUAGGUAGUUGGUGAGGUAAAGGCUCACCAAGCCGACGAUCUGUAGCUGGUCUGAGAGGACGACCAGCCACACUGGGACUGAGACACGGCCCAGACUCCUACGGGAGGCAGCAGUGGGGAAUUUUGGACAAUGGGCGCAAGCCUGAUCCAGCAAUGCCGCGUGCAGGAUGAAGGCCUUCGGGUUGUAAACUGCUUUUGUACGGAGCGAAAAGGCUCCCUCUAAUAUAGGGGGCUCAUGACGGUACCGUAAGAAUAAGCACCGGCUAACUACGUG
rnacentral:rRNA from 1 species